rnacentral:rRNA from 1 species
GGGGAAUAUUGGACAAUGGGCGGAAGCCUGAUCCAGCCAUGCCGCGUGUGUGAAGAAGGUCUUCGGAUUGUAAAGCACUUUAAUUUGGGAGGAAGGGUUUACACCUAAUACGUGUGAACUUUGACGUUACCAAAAGAAUAAGCACCGGCUAACUUCGUGCCAGCAGCCGCGGUAAUACGAAGGGUGCAAGCGUUAAUCGGAAUUACUGGGCGUAAAGCGCGCGUAGGUGGUUCGUUAAGUUGGAAGUGAAAGCCCCGGGCUCAACCUGGGAAUUGCUUUCAAAACUGGCGAGCUAGAGUACGGUAGAGGGUGGUGGAAUUUCCUGUGUAGCGGUGAAAUGCGUAGAUAUAGGAAGGAACAUCAGUGGCGAAGGCGACCACCUGGACUGAUACUGACACUGAGGUGCGAAAGCGUGGGGAGCAAAC